rnacentral:lncRNA from 7 species
GCUCAUCGUUGUCUACUGGCUCAUCAGGGUCCUCCUCCUCGGUCUCUUCUCCAUCCUCAUUGGGCUCCUGUUAGUCUUUCAAGAUGUCGUCAUUGGACAUAUCUGUACCUCCCGAUGAGUCAUCGUCGUCGUCAAAAAUCUAGUACCUAGAGUCACCUAAGUCUUGCAUCACGGUGCCUCGUUCAACCAGUUCUACUGGCACUUCAGAUUGCUCCUCCUCAUGCAAUUGAGCCACCUAGUCAAACAUGUGGGGGUCGUUAGGCUCAAGAUCCUCCAUGGGUUCAUCCUUAGGGUUGGAGAACUAGUCGUCAAACUCAACAUCUUUUGGGUUGUCCUUGACGGUGAUGUGCAAAGGUCCCUCUUCUACCACAAGCUCAAUGGCUGGAGGUGGUGGGAACUCUUCGUUACUGAUGCGAAUCUUUCCUCCAGUGCUCUUGCAGGCAGUCAUGCG